UAGAGUUUGAUCCUGGCUCAGCCUGAACGCUGGCGGCGUGGCUAAGACAUGCAAGUCGUACGGUGUAGCAAUACACAGUGGCGAACGGGUGAGUAAUGAAUCGCUAAUGUACCCCGGACUCUGGGAUAGCCAGUCGAAAGAUUGGGUAAUACCAGAUGAGACCACGAACAGGCAUCUGUUUGUGCUCAAAGGUCCGCCGGUCUGGGAGCAGGCGAUUUCGUAUCAGCUAGUUGGUGAGGUAACGGCUCACCAAGGCGACGACGCGUAGCCGGGCUGAGAGGUCGGCCGGCCACAUUGGGACUGAGACACUGCCCAGACUCCUACGGGGGGCUGCAGUAACGAAUCUUCCACAAUGCACGAAAGUGUGAUGGAGCGACGCCGCGUGUAGGACGAAGUCCUUCGGGAUGUAAACUACUGUCAGGGGAAAGAAAGUUCUGAUCUACCCCAGAGGAAGAGGCGGCUAACUCUGUGCCAGCAGCCGCGGUAAGACAGAGGCCUCGAGCGUUAGGCGGAAUCACUGGGCUUAAAGCGUGUGUAGGCGGAAGCGUAAGUACCUUGUGAAAUCCCACGGCUCAACCGUGGAACUGCUGGGUAUACUGCGUUUCUUGAGCCAUUUAGGGGCGAGUGGAACGGAUGGUGGAGCGGUGAAAUGCAUAGAUAUCAUCCGGAACGCCUGUGGUGAAGACGACUCGCUGGGGAUGUGCUGACGCUGAGACACGAAAGCCAGGGGAGCAAACGGGAUUAGAUACCCCGGUAGUCCUGGCCCUAAACGAUGUCCACUAGAUUGCAG
rnacentral:rRNA from 1 species